rnacentral:tRNA from 1 species
GUUUGUGGCUCAGCGGUACAGCGCUUGCCUCACAUGUGCCAGUCCCUGGGUUCGAUCCUCAGCACCACA